CCAAUGGGGCGGCGGAUUGAGUAGCAUCUUUUGUUGCCAACCAUUCGGAGGACCACUUAUGGGAGAAAGAGGUGGAAUUGCCUACUGCUCUCCGUAAUGUUCUGCUUUUUGAUUUUCUUAGUGUAUUCGUACACGUUAUCCGUUUUAGCAAGAAAAAGAAAAAAGAAGAGAGAGAAAGAAAGAGACAAUUUUUCCACACGGCAUGCCGCACCAAGCUCAACGCCUCUUCAUGGGCCUCCCAUUGUUAUGGUGCCCACGUUUAAAAGAAAAGAAAAGGGUGGGCUCCAUAGGAAGGCUUGGAACAUAGUGGUCGGUGCUCCUUGAAACUUAAUCUUGCUCUAUCUGUUUCAGAAUCUGAUAAAACAUGGGAAACACAA
rnacentral:lncRNA from 1 species